AACUAACGCUGGCGGCGUGCCUAACACAUGCAAGUCGUACGAGAAAGCCGGCUUCGGCUGGUGAGUAAAGUGGCGCACGGGUGAGUAACGCGUGGAUAAUCUGCCCUUAAGUGUGGAAUAACGUACCGAAAGGUGCGCUAAUACCGCAUAAUGCCUGGCAACACAAGUUGUCCGGCCAAAGAAGGCCUCUGUUUACAAGCUUUCGCUUCAGGAUGAGUCCGCGUACCAUUAGCUUGUUGGUGGGGUAAUGGCCUACCAAGGCUGCGAUGGUUAGCUGGUCUGGGAGGAUGAUCAGCCACACUGGAACUGAGACACGGUCCAGACUCCUACGGGAGGCAGCAGUGAGGAAUAUUGCGCAAUGGGGGCAACCCUGACGCAGCAACGCCGCGUGAGUGAGGAAGGUUUUCGGACUGUAAAGCUCUGUCGAGCGGGAAGAAGUGUACCAUGGCUAAUAUCCAUGAUAUUUGACGGUACCGCUAGAGG
rnacentral:rRNA from 1 species